rnacentral:rRNA from 1 species
ACGGGUGAGUAACACGUGAGUAACCUGCCCUUAACUCUGGGAUAAGCCUGGGAAACUGGGUCUAAUACCGGAUAUGACUCCUCAUCGCAUGGUGGGGGGUGGAAAGCUUUUGUGGUUUUGGAUGGACUCGCGGCCUAUCAGCUUGUUGGUGAGGUAAUGGCUCACCAAGGCGACGACGGGUAGCCGGCCUGAGAGGGUGACCGGCCACACUGGGACUGAGACACGGCCCAGACUCCUACGGGAGGCAGCAGUGGGGAAUAUUGCACAAUGGGCGGAAGCCUGAUGCAGCGACGCCGCGUGAGGGAUGACGGCCUUCGGGUUGUAAACCUCUUUCAGUAGGGAAGAAGCGAGAGUGACGGUACCUGCAGAAGAAGCGCCGGCUAACUACGUGCCAGCAGCCGCGGUAAUACGUAGGGCGCAAGCGUUAUCCGGAAUGAUUGGGCGUAAAGAGCUCGUAGGCGGUUUGUCGCGUCUGCCGUGAAAGUCCGGGGCUCAACUCCGGAUCUGCGGUGGGUACGGGCAGACUAGAGUGAUGUAGGGGAGACUGGAAUUCCUGGUGUAGCGGUGAAAUGCGCAGA